rnacentral:rRNA from 1 species
AGUGAACGCUGGCGGUAGGCCUAACACAUGCAAGUCGAACGGCAGCACAGUAAGAGCUUGCUCUUACGGGUUGCGAGUGGCGGACGGGUGAGGAAUACAUCUGAAUCUACUUUUUCGUUGGGGAUAACGUAUGGAAACUUACGCUAAUACCUCAUUCGACCUACGGGUUAAAGCCGUGGAUCUUCGGACCUUGCGCGAUUGAAUGAUCCGAUGUCGGAUUAGCUAGUUUGCGGGGUAAAGGCCCACCAACGCGACGAUCCGUAGCUGGUCUGAGAGGGAGAACAGGCAGACUGGAAGUGAGGAACGGUCCAGACUCCUACGGGAGGAAGCAGUGGGGAAUAUUGGGCAAGGGGGGAAAGCCUGAUACAGCCAAACCGCGUGGGUGAAGAAGGACUUAGGGUUGGAAAGUCAUUUUGUUGGGAAAGAAAAGCAGCAGGUUAAUAAAGCGCUGUUAUGACGGUACCCAAAGAAUAAGCACCGGCUAACUUCGUG